AGUAAACUUGCGUCGUUUGAUGGGAAAAAAGCUAUUCGUGGCGGUAUACCUUUUGUGUUUCUCCUAGAAGAAGAAGAAUCAAAGAAAUAUUUGUAACACCAGGCCCGCUGGGAGUUCAAUAACGUAGUUACUGGAGGAUAAAAAUAAAUUGUAUAUCGGUGUGACGGCCUCAAAGACCUCAGCAGCAAAAUAUACCUACGAGGGGAAGUCAAUAAGUUCGUGGAAUUAAGGGGUUGAAGAGGAGUGACAAAUUAUGUGUUUACCUAGCACUACUUCGCCACUCAUUGCCUCUAUGCACUAUUGAAUGUUUAUUUAUUUAUCUACUUAUUUCAAAAGUCAAUAAACUACAAAGGUUCUAACUGACUAAAACGAUACAGAGAACUAAAGUGCAGAAGGCACUAAAAUAAAA